AUUGGAGGGCAAGUCUGGUGCCAGCAGCCGCGGUAAUUCCAGCUCCAAUAGCGUAUAUUAAAGUUGUUGCAGUUAAAAAGCUCGUAGUUGGAUUUCUGUUAAUAAUUUAUAUAUAAUAUUUAACGUAUUUAUAUAAUAUUAACAUAAUUCAUAUUACUAUUCUGUAGUAUAUGAAAUUUUACUUUGAGAAAAUUAGAGUGCUUAAAGCAGGCUUAUGCCUUGAAUACUAGAGCAUGGAAUAAUAUUAAAGAUUUUUAUCUUUCUUUAUUGGUUCUAAGAUAGAAAUAAUGAUUAAUAGGGACAGUUGGGGGCAUUUGUAUUUAACAGUUAGAGGUGAAAUUCUUAGAUUUGUUAAAGACAAACUAAUGCGAAAGCAUUUGCCAAGGAUGUUUUCAUUAAUCAAGAACGAAAGUUAGGGGAUCGAAGACGAUCAGAUACCGUCGUAGUCUUAACCAUAAACUAUGCCAACUAGAGAUUGGAGGUUGUUCCUUACUCCUUC
rnacentral:rRNA from 1 species